rnacentral:rRNA from 1 species
GAUGAACGCUGGCGGCGCGCCUAACACAUGCAAGUCGAACGAUUAAAGCACCUUCGGGUGUGUAUAAAGUGGCGAACGGCUGAGUAACACGUGUGCAACCUGCCCCUUUCAUUGGGAUAGCCCCGGUAAACCGUGGAUAAUACCGAAUACUUCGAGACUUCCGCAUGGAAGACUCGAGAAAGCUCCGGCGGAGAGGGAUGGGCCCGCGGCCUGUUAGCUUGUUGGUGGGGUAACGGCCUACCAAGGCAAUGAUGGGUAGCUGGGUUGAGAGACCGACCAGCCAGAUUGCGACUGAGACGCGGCCCAGACUCCUCCGGUACGCAGCAGUGCAGAAUCUUGCACAAUGGGCUGAACCCUGAUGCAGCGACGCCGCGUGCGGGAUGAAGGCCUUCGGGUUGUAAACCGCUUUCAGCAGGGACGAGGCGAAAGUGACGGUACCUGAAGAAGAAGCCCCGGCUAACUACGUG